rnacentral:lncRNA from 1 species
UCCUCUCCUCCUCCUCUCCCCUUCCUCUCCCCUUCCUCUCCUCCUCCUCUCCCCUUCCUCUCCCCCUCCUCUCCCCUUCCUCUCCCCUUCCUCUCCUCCUCCUCUCCCCUUCCUCUCCCCUUCCUCUCCUCCUCCUCUCCCCUUCCUCUCCCCUUCCUCUCCCCUUCCUCUCCCCUUCCUCUCCCCUUCCUCUCCCCCUCCUCUCCUCCUCCAAUGCUGUUGUAAAGGAUCUCCAUUCUCAGGUUGUUAACAGGUCUAUAUUUGGGUUGGAUUGUUUAUAGUGGUGUCUGUAUUAACAUCAUAUAGCUUUGUCCAACUCCAGUAGGAUUAUAAUCUAUGAAUCUCCUUCUCAUUAAAUAUAACCUCUGGUUUAAACUCUCAUUCCUUACUCUGUCCGCCUGUCAAUCCCUCUCCCUGCAUCAAAGCUUUAGUGACUUAGUUAACUCUGGUUCAGCUGCCUGAGUUGCUCUGGUUUAGCUGCCUGAGUUGCUCUGGUUCAGCUGCCUGAGUUGCUCUGGUUCAGCUGCCUGAGUUGCUCUGGUUUAGCUGCCUGAGUUGCUCUGGUUCAGCUGCCUGAGUUGCUCUGGUUCAGCUGCCUGAGUUGCUCUGGUUCAGCUGCCUGAGUUGCUCUGGUUCAGCUGCCUGAGUUGCUCUGGUUCAGCUGCCUGAGUUGCUCUGGUUCAGCUGCCUGAGUUGCUCUGGUUUAGCUGCCUGAGUUGCUCUGGUUCAGCUGCCUGAGUUGCUCUGGUUCAGCUGCCUGAGUUGCUCUGGUUUAGCUGCCUGAGUUGCUCUGGUUCAGCUGCCUGAGUUGCUCUGGUUUAGCUGCCUGAGUUGCUCUGGUUUAGCUGCCUGAGUUACCUGGCUGUUGGAUGGAAUUUGUAUGAAUGUUCUGUGAUGGUUGUAUGGAUGUUCUGUGAUGGUUGUGUGGAUGUUCUGUGAUGGUUGUGUGGAUGUUCUGUGAUGGUUGUAUGAUGUUCUGUGAUGGUUGUAUGGAUGUUCUGUGAUGGUUGUAUGGAUGUUCUGUGGUGGUUGUACGGAUGUUCUGUGAUGGUUGUAUGGAUGUUCUGUGAUGGUUGUGUGAAUGUUCUGUGAUGGUUGUAUGAAUGUUCUGUGAUGGUUGUAUGGAUGUUCUGUGAUGGUUGUAUGAAUGUUCUGUGAUCGUUGUAUGGAUGUUCUGUGAUGGUUGUAUGGAUGUUCUGUGAUGGUUGUAUGGAUGUUCUGUGAUGGUUGUGUGAAUGUUCUGUGAUGGUUGUAUGGAUGUUCUGUGAUGGUUGUAUGGAUGUUCUGUGGUGGUUGUAUGGAUGUUCUGUGAUGGUUGUAUGGAUGUUCUGUGAUGGUUGUGUGAAUGUUCUGUGAUGGUUGUAUGGAUGUUCUGUGAUGGUUGUAUGGAUGUUCUGUGAUGGUUGUAUGGAUGUUCUGUGGUGGUUGUAUGGAUGUUAUAUUGUGGUUGUAUGGAUGUUCUGUGGUGGUUGUAUGAAUGUUCUGUGAUGGUUGUAUGGAUGUUCUGUGGUGGUUGUAUGAAUGUUCUGUGAUGGUUGUAUGGAUGUUCUGUGAUGGUUGUAUGAAUGUUCUGUGGUGGUUGUAUGGAUGUUCUGUGAUGGUUGUAUGAAUGUUCUGUGAUGGUUGUGUGAAUGUUCUGUGAUGGUUGUAUGGAUGUUCUGUGAUGGUUGUAUGAAUGUUCUGUGGUGGUUGUAUGGAUGUUCUGUGAUGGUUGUAUGGAUGUUCUGUGAUGGUUGUAUGGAUGUUCUGUGAUGGUUGUAUGGAUGUUCUGUGAUGGUUGUAUGAAUGUUCUGUGAUGGUUGUGUGAAUGUUCUGUGAUGGUUGUAUGAUGUUCUGUGAUGGUUGUAUGAAUGUUCUGUGAUGGUUGUAUGAAUGCUCUGUGAUGGUUGUAUGAAUGUUCUGUGAUGGUUGUAUGGAUGUUAUGAGAUGGUUGUGUGGAUGUUAGAUGUUGUAUGAAUGUUCUGUGAUGGUUGUAUGAUGUUCUGUGAUGGUUGUAUGGAUGUUCUGUGAUGGUUGUAUGAAUGCUCUGUGAUGGUUGUAUGAAUGUUCUGUGAUGGUUGUAUGGAUGUUAUGAGAUGGUUGUGUGGAUGUUAGAUGUUGUAUGAAUGUUCUGUGAUGGUUGUGUGAAUGUUCUGUGAUGGUUGUGUGAAUGUUCUGUGAUGGUUGUGUGAAUGUUCUGUGAUGGUUGUAUGAAUGUUCUGUGAUGGUUGUGUGGAUGUUCUGUGAUGUUGUAUGAAUGUUAGGAGAUGGUUGUGUGGAUGUUCUGUGAUGGUUGUGUGGAUGUUAGGAGAUGGUUGUAUGAAUGUUAGGAGAUGGUUGUGUGGAUGUUCAGUGAUGGUUGUGUGAAUGUUCUGUGAUGGUUGUGUGAAUGUUCUGUGAUGGUUGUGUGAAUGUUCUGUGAUGGUUGUGUGAAUGUUCUGUGAUAGUUGUAUGAAUGUUCUGUGAUGGUUGUGUGGCUGUUCUGUGAUGGUUGUGUGGAUGUUAGGAGAUGGUUGUGUGGAUGUUAGGAGAUGGUUGUGUGGAUGUUCCUCCCAAUACAUUGAGGUUGACAGGUCUUCUCAGUGUUCUCUGACCCUGAGGUAGGACUAGGGGUCAGGGUGAGGUAGGGCUAGGGGUCAGGGUGAGGUAGGGCUAGUGGUCAGGGUGAGGUAGGGUUAGUGAGGUAGGGCUAGGGGACAGGGUUAGUGAGGUAGGGCUAGGGGUCAGGGUUAGUGAGGUAGGGCUAGGGGACAGGGUGAGGUAGGGCUAGGGGUCAGGGUGAGGUAGGGUUACUGAGGUAGGGCUAGGGGUCAGGGUGAGGUAGGGCUAGUGAGGUAGGGCUAGGGGACAGGGUGAGGUAGAGCUAGGGAGGUAGGGCUAGGGGUCAGGGUGAGGUAGGGUUAGUGAGGUAGGGCUAGGGGACAGGGUGAGGUAGGGCUAGUGAGGUAGGGCUAGGGGUUUGGGUUGCUAGUUUGGUAGUGUUAGUUUGAUAGACAGGUGUCAGAUUGAGUGUCUGAGCCUGAACCAACUGACCAUCUAACCUUUAACCUCUGACCUGGAAGUCUUAUGAAUAACUCUCUGGCAUUGCUGUCAGACUUAGUAGCCGACAGGAAGUCUGAGGUCUUACGCG